GAGGAAGUAAAAGUCGUAACAAGGUUUCCGUAGGUGAACCUGCGGAAGGAUCAUUAUCGAGUUUUUUGAACGGGUUGUAGCUGGUCUCUCUUCUGUGGAGAGACAUGUGCACGCCUGGCUCAUCCACUCUUCAACCUCUGUGCACCUCAUGUAAGAAAACGGUGAAAGCCAGCUUUAAUCGGUUGGUAGAAACCUUUUUCUUAUGUUUAUUACACAAACGCUUCAGUUAUAGAAUGUUUAUAGUGUGUAUAACACAAUUAAUAUAUACAACUUUCAGCAACGGAUCUCUUGGCUCUCGCAUCGAUGAAGAACGCAGCGAAAUGCGAUAAGUAAUGUGAAUUGCAGAAUUCAGUGAAUCAUCGAAUCUUUGAACGCACCUUGCGCUCCUUGGUAUUCCGAGGAGCAUGCCUGUUUGAGUAUCAUGGAAUUCUCAACCCUUAAAAUUUUGUAACGAAGUUUAUAAAGGGCUUGGACUUGGAGGUUGUGUCGGCGUUCUCUUUUAGAGUUAGAGUCGACUCCUCUCAAAUGUAUUAGCGUGAAUCUUUACGGAUCCACUUCAGUGAUGAUAAUUAUCUGCGCUGUGGUGUUGAAGUAUUUUUUUAAUAGUUCGUGCUUACAAUCGUCUCUCACGAGACAAUUUCUUUGAACAAUCUGAUCUCAAAUCAGGUAGGACUACCCGCUGAACUUAAGCA
rnacentral:rRNA from 1 species